GACGAACGCUGGCGGCGUGCUUAACACAUGCAAGUCGAACGGAAAGGCCCUGCUUUUGUGGGGUGCUCGAGUGGCGAACGGGUGAGUAACACGUGAGUAACCUGCCCUUGACUUUGGGAUAACUUCAGGAAACUGGGACUAAUACCGGAUAGGAGCUCCUGCUGCAUGGUGGGGGUUGGAAAGUUUCGGCGGUUGGGGAUGGACUCGCGGCUUAUCAGCUUGUUGGUGGGGUAGUGGCUUACCAAGGCUUUGACGGGUAGCCGGCCUGAGAGGGUGACCGGCAAGAUGGGGACUGAGAUACGGCCCAGACUCCGGGGGGGGGAGGAGGGGGGAAAUAUUGAAAAAGGGGGGGAGGCUGGAGGCAGAAACCCCGCGGGGGGGAGGGCGGCCUUGGGGUUGAAAACGGCUUUCGCCGGUGAAGAAGGGGGAGGAAGGAAAAGGGAUAAAGAAAACCGGGAAAACAAGGGC
rnacentral:rRNA from 1 species